rnacentral:rRNA from 1 species
UACGUAGGGGGCAAGCGUUGUCCGGAUUUAUUGGGCGUAAAGAGCUCGUAAGCGGUUUGUCGCGUCUGCUGUGAAAACUGGAGGCUCAACCUCCAGCCUGCAGUGGGUACGGGCAGACUAGAGUGCGGUAGGGGAGAUUGGAAUUCCUGGUGUAGCGGUGGAAUGCGCAGAUAUCAGGAGGAACACCGAUGGCGAAGGCAGAUCUCUGGGCCGUAACUGACGCUGAGGAGCGAAAGCAUGGGGAGCGAACAGG